rnacentral:rRNA from 1 species
UACAGAGGUCUCAAGCGUUGUUCGGAUUCAUUGGGCGUAAAGGGUGCGUAGGCGGCGAGGUAAGUCGGAUGUGAAAUCUCAGGGCUCAACCCUGAAACUGCAUUCGAUACUGCCUUGCUUGAGGACUCGAGAGGAGAUUGGAAUUUACGGUGUAGCGGUGAAAUGCGUAGAUAUCGUAAGGAAGACCAGUGGCGAAGGCGGGUCUCUGGACAGUUCCUGACGCUGAGGCACGAAGGUCAGGGGAGCAAACGGG